AAUGAACGCUGGCGGCGUGCCUAACACAUGCAAGUCGCGCGCGAAAGGGGAGCAAUCUCCGAGUAGAGCGGCGGACGGGUGAGUAACACGUGGGUAAUCUGCCUAGGAGCGGGGGAUAACCUGGGGAAACUCGGGCUAAUACCGCAUACGAUCAUGGGGUCUCGGCCCUGUGCUGAAAGAUGGCCUCUGCUUGCAAGCUACCACUCCUAGAGGAGCCCGCGCCUGAUUAGCUAGUUGGUGGGGUAACGGCCUACCAAGGCGACGAUCAGUAGCCGGCCUGAGAGGGCGAUCGGCCACACUGGAACUGAGACACGGUCCAGACUCCUACGGGAGGCAGCAGUGAGGAAUCUUGCGCAAUGGGGGAAACCCUGACGCAGCAACGCCGCGUGGAGGAUGAAGGUCUUCGGAUUGUAAACUCCUGUCAGAGGGGACGAAUGUUCACGGGCUAAUCACCGUGAGCUUGACGGUACCCUCAGAGGAAGCCACGGCUAACUCUGUGCCAGCAGCCGCGGUAAUACAGAGGUGGCGAGCGUUAUUCGGAAUUAUUGGGCGUAAAGGGCGCGUAGGCGGCUUGACAAGUCCCGGGUGAAAUCCCUCGGCUCAACCGAGGAACUGCCUUGGAAACUGUCUGGCUUGAGGCCGGGAGAGGGUAGUGGAAUUCCCAGUGUAGCGGUGAAAUGCGUAGAUACUGGGAGGAACACCGGUGGCGAAGGCGGCUACCUGGACCGGUUCUGACGCUGAGGCGCGAAAGCGUGGGUAGCAAACAGGAUUAGAUACCCUGGUAGUCCACGCUGUAAACGAUGGAUGCUCGGUGCUGGGGGUAUCGACCCCUCCGGUGCCUUAGCUAACGCGUUAAGCAUC
rnacentral:rRNA from 1 species